rnacentral:misc_RNA from 1 species
AACGCACCUUGCGCUCCUUGGUAUUCCGAGGAGCAUGCCUGUUUGAGUGUCAUUAAAUUCUCAACCUCACCAGUUUUGUAAAGAGACAGGUGAAGGCUUGGAUGUGGGGGUUUUGCAGGCUGCCUCAGUGCUGGUCUGCUCUCCUGAAAUGCAUUAGCGAGCUCAUAUUGAGUUUCCGUCUAUUGGUGUGAUAAUUAUCUACGCCGUAGAUUGGACUCAUGCUUGCUUCUAACCGUCCGCAAGGACAAUUUACUUGACCAAUUUGACCUCAAAUCAGGUAGGACUACCCGCUGAACUUAA